AACGAACGCUGGCGGCAUGCCCAACACAUGCAAGUCGAACGAGAUCUUCGGGUCUAGUGGCGCACGGGUGCGUAACGCGUGGGAAUCUGCCCUUUGGUUCGGAAUAACAGUUGGAAACGACUGCUAAUACCGGAUGAUGACGAAAGUCCAAAGAUUUAUCGCCAGAGGAUGAGCCCGCGUAGGAUUAGCUAGUUGGUGUGGUAAAGGCGCACCAAGGCGACGAUCCUUAGCUGGUCUGAGAGGAUGAUCAGCCACACUGGGACUGAUACACGGCCCAGACUCCUACGGGAGGCAGCAGUGGGGAAUAUUGGACAAUGUGCGAAAGCCUGAUCCAGCAAUGCCGCGUGAGUGAUGAAGGCCUUAGGGUUGUAAAGCUCUUUUACCCGGGAUGAUAAUGACAGUACCGGGAGAAUAAGCUCCGGCUAACUCCGUGCCAGCAGCCGCCGUAAAAC
rnacentral:rRNA from 1 species